rnacentral:rRNA from 1 species
UGCCUAACACAUGCAAGUCGAACGAGAUCCAGCUGGUGGCAACACCAGGGAAGAUCUAGUGGCGAACGGGUGAGUAACACGUGAGGAACUUGCCCCGGAGACCGGGAUAACUCUCCGAAAGGAGAGCUAAUACCGGAUACCUCCACCUGGUCGCAUGGCCGGGUGAAGAAAUGGAUUCCGCUCCGGGAGAGCCUCGCGGCCUAUCAGCUUGUUGGUGGGGUAACGGCCCACCAAGGCGUCGACGGGUAGCUGGUCUGAGAGGACGAUCAGCCACACUGGGACUGAGACACGGCCCAGACUCCUACGGGAGGCAGCAGUGGGGAAUCUUGCGCAAUGGGCGAAAGCCUGACGCAGCAACGCCGCGUGCGGGAUGAAGGCCUUCGGGUUGUAAACCGCUUUCAGUGGGGACGAACCAAGACGGUACCCACAGAAGAAGCCCCGGCCAACUACGUGCCAGCAGCCGCGGUAACACGUAGGGGGCAAGCGUUGUCCGGAUUUAUUGGGCGUAAAGAGCUCGUAGGUGGUUCGAUAAGUCGGGUGUGAAACCUCCAGGCUCAACCUGGAGACGCCACCCGAUACUGUCGUGACUAGAGUCCAGUAGGGGAGCGUGGAAUUCCUGGUGUAGCGGUGAAAUGCGCAGAUAUCAGGAGGAACACCAGCGGCGAAGGCGGCGCUCUGGGCUGGCACUGACACUGAGGAGCGAAAGCGUGGGGAGCGAACAGGAUUAGAUACCCUGGUAGUCCACGCCGUANACGUUGGGUACUAGGUGUGGGGUCUUAUCAACGGAUUCCGUGCCGAAGCUAACGCAUUAAGUACCCCGCCUGGGGAGUACGGUCGCAAGGCUAAAACUCAAAGGAAUUGACGGGG